AGAAUAUGUGCAUUAAAUUGCCUCCGUGACCAUGUAUGACUCCUACUCUACAAAUAAAUGGGAAUAGAUAGCUCCCUUCCCUCAGGAACUUCUGUCUGCAGAAAACUGUGGAUCUCUGGGAUAUGCAGAUGAAACAUCUCUUCCUCUCCACCAAGAUAUGAAAGCAGAGAGCUCCUUCCCCUUCUGAGCUUCAGGCCAAGGGGCUCCGACACACACCGAGCAAAUGGGAAGAUGUGUGAUUAGAACAGAGGUCUUCCUUGGAUGAAUGUUACAAGGAGAGUGGAAGAAGGACUUAGACUAAAACAGGAUUGACAUGCAUGAUGAAUUACAGUUCAUUAAUCCAAUUAAUGAGUAAUUCCAGAAGCUUUAAUCCCAGAUAAAGCUCUUUAUUGCAGCUCUGUUGGCUAGUGAUGCACAAACUAAGAGCCUGUCAGCAAAUCUAUUGUAAAAUUCUAUUAAAUAAAGC
rnacentral:lncRNA from 1 species